UAACACUUGGGGUCCAGAGAGGUUAAGCUACUUGCCCACGUUACACAGCUGAUGAAUAGCAGAGCCCAGUUUCACAGAUGCUUCAAAAUUCAAGACAGGAUAGGAAGACAGUGAAGAGUGUUCCUCUCACUUCUCUCCCAUCUGCUCAAUUCCCACCCGGACCUGCAAAGGCUUACCCUCCCCACCAGGCUGGCUGGGACAUGAGGGGCUUCCCAGGGACUCCCCCUUUGCUCCUGG